GGAAAUUAAUCACUUCUUAAAGUAAUUCUCUUUGGAAAUGGUGGGAUUGGGAGGAGUUCGUUUAUGAACAGAUAUGUAAUGGAUAAGUUUGAUACUCUACUGUUCCAUGCAAUAGAUGUGAACAUUUUAAAUAAGAUUUGAAAGGGAUGGACAUUUUUUUUUACCAUGCACAUUUGUGGCAUGGCAGGUCAAGAGAUAUUGCAAAGCCUGAGGAUGCCAUUUUACAGACAUUCUGAGAGUUGUCUGCUUACUUUUAGUAUAAGUGAUUUACAAGGUUCCAGAACUUAACUAACUGGAAGAAAGAGUUCAUAAGUUAUGCAGAGGUAGAAGAACCCGAGAGCGUUCCUUUUGUGAUUCUGGAUUCCUAGACUGGCAUAAUCCAAUGGCAGGUGUUCAUAGAAGAAGUGAAGCUUAUGCAGUGAGAACAGUGACUAUCCUUACUUUGUCAAAAGUGCAAAAGAUGCCACAAAUGCAGCAGCAGCCUUUGAGGAAGGGUUUCAAAACAUUCGUGCAACUGAGGAUAUGUCAGAUCACUUGAUGCACAAAGGCAUGGUCGACCUUCACCUAAACCCCAAGCCUUGCUCAUCUUUCUGUUGA
rnacentral:lncRNA from 10 species